rnacentral:lncRNA from 1 species
CUGAACUUCGACAGUGCAUAGUGCAAAUGUUUGUUAUAGCAAAAGCCAUGGAAACCCCGACGAAGGCAAAAUCUUUGUUACCACUCAUUCACUACCCCCUGAAUGUAAGACAGUAAAAUGUCUUUUCCACCUGAGAUAAGUAAAGGAGUCCCAUUGCACACAGAAUGCUAGACUAUCGACAUCCAAACUUCAAAAUUCAUAAAGACGAUCGAUCUUUAAUUGAAGAUUAAUCUCUUCGGAAAGUACAUACUGCAACACGGAUUGCACAAUAACAUAGAACAACUGAGCCACCCCCCUUUACCCCGAAUAAAAUAAAAUUCUGAACCCUAGCAAUUCUAUACGCUGUUAAUAGCUGCAGCUCCACCAACAGCUGAAGGAAUGAACACCCUAAUCAGCUCAACUUCGCUAAUUAUUAACCUGCUGUCUCACCCGUCUCCCACAUAAGCAAUAUGUAAGCGAAACCGGAAACUACGAUGCUUCCGAUGGCGUUUGAGCAAAUUCGAGAAAAUUUAAGAAAAGAAAAUUGGAUCCGAGUACUACACGAGAACAAUUCACGUGUUCAAUCACAUAUGCAUAUUUUAAAUCAGGCCCUUAAGAAUACUCUCUUUUCUCCUGAACCCCAAUUCGACUAAAAUCUUUUCCAGCAGUUUUCUAAUGCGAGAUCACGGCCAAGCCUCUAGAAACCCUAAAUCAUUGUCAAUUGCAACCAUUGUAGAUUCCAGAAAUCGCCAUCCAAGAAAACCUUGAUGCAUUAUGGGCUCUCCAAUACAAGCGGAACCCGCAGCUGCAGAAGUAACAAAACCCUCGGAGUAAAAUUAGGCUUCUCAGACAGAGUUUUAAACGUGGAAUACAGCUGGAGCUGACAUUCAAAUUCUAUCAUCCCCAUCAUCAAUCCUACCACGUCCUCGAACAACUCAAAUCACUCACCACUUCGCGAAACAACGAACUCGGGAUAUCCACAAGAGCUCUCAUAAGAAACGUACUCACAACCCUACAUGAAAUCAAACCCCUUGCCCCUCUCCACAACCCGACCUCUCAUCUCAUGUCCGUAGACCUUCCCCUUACGCGCUUUCACCUGGUUCCCUGCGCCACUCUGCUCACGAUCCAGACACACGAAAUAAACUACACGAUUAAUCGAGGUGGCAUGCUCAACCCAUACGCCAACACAGCAUUGCCACCGAUCCGUCGCUGCCAAAACCCACAUGAUCCAGAACAAAACACAGCAG